GAUGAACGCUGGCGGCGUGCCUAAUACAUGCAAGUCGAGCGAACAGACGAGGCUCUUUCUCCUCUGACGUUAGCGGCGGACGGGUGAUUCACACGUGUCUAACCUACCUAUAAGACUGGGAUAACUUCGCGAAACCGGAUCUAAUACCGGAUAAUAUAUUGAACCGCAUGGUUCAAUAGUCAAAGACGGUUUUGCUGUCACUUAUAGAUGUUUCCGCGCCGCAUUAGCUAGUUGGUAAGGUAACGGCUUACCAGGGCAACGAUGCGUAGCCGACCUGAGAGGGUGAUCAGCCACACUGGAACUGAGACACGGUCCAGACUCCUACGGGAGGCAGCAGUAGGGAAUAUUCCGCAAUGGGCGAAAGCCUGACGGAGCAACGCCGCGUGAGUGAUGAAGGUCUUCGGAUCGUAAAACUCUGUUAUUAGGGAAGAACAAAAGUGUAAGUAACUAUGCACGUCUUGACGGUACCUAAACAGAAAGCCACGGCUAACUACGUG
rnacentral:rRNA from 1 species